rnacentral:rRNA from 1 species
GAUGAACGCUGGCGGCGUGCUUAACACAUGCAAGUCGAACGGAAAGGCUCCUGCUUGCAGGGGUACUCGAGUGGCGAACGGGUGAGUAACACGUGGGUGAUCUGCCCUGCACUUCGGGAUAAGCCUGGGAAACUGGGUCUAAUACCGGAUAGGACGAUGGUUUGGAUGCCAUUGUGGAAAGUUUUUUCGGUGUGGGAUGUGCUCGCGGCCUAUCAGCUUGUUGGUGGGGUAAUGGCCUACCAAGGCAUCGACGGGUAGCCGGCCUGAGAGGGUGUACGGCCACAUUGGGACUGAGAUACGGCCCAGACUCCUACGGGAGGCAGCAGCGGGGAAUAUUGCACAAUGGGCGCAAGCCCGAUGCAGCGACGCCGCGUGGGGGAUGACGGCCUUCGGGUUGUAAACUCCUUUCGCUAGGGACGAAGCGAAAGUGACGGUACCUGGAGAAGAAGCACCGGCUAACUACGUG